CCCUUAGAUGUCCUGGGCCGCACGCGCGUUACACUGAUGCAUUCAACGAGCUUAUAACCUUGGCCGAGAGGCCUGGGCAAUCUUGUUAACGUGCAUCGUGAUAGGGAUAGAUUAUUGAAAUUAUUAAUCUUGAACGAGGAAUUCCUAGUAAACGCAGAUCAUCAAUCUGCAUUGAUUACGUCCCUGCCCUUUGUACACACCGCCCGUCGCACCUACCGAUUGGAUGGUCCGGUGAAGCCUCGGGAUUGUGGUUCUUGCCGCUUUAUUGUGGCGUGACCGCGAGAACUUGUUUAAACCUUAUCAUCUAGAGGAAGGUGAAGUCGUAACA
rnacentral:rRNA from 1 species